CAGAGUUGCAAAACUCCCAACCCUUUGUGAACGAACCUACCAGUUGCCUCGGCGGCGAGCCUUCUAGGCGGACCGCCGGAGGAAUACAAACUCUAUGCAUUAUAGUCUCUCUGAUUACUUAUUCAAUAAGUUA
rnacentral:misc_RNA from 1 species